rnacentral:lncRNA from 1 species
UGGUUUGGAUCCAUUGCUGGUUAGCCAGUGUGAUCUUUUGGGGGUGUUAAAGAAUGUUAUUUUGUCAUGCUGCCAGAAUUGUUUUUUUUUUUUUUUUUUUUUUUUUUUUUUUGGUUCCUUCUCAUUUAGGUAGACUGUCAGAAGUCACAUAUGAGACUCAAGGCUGCCGUUCAGAUUCUUUAGUCCCACGGGGUGCUCCCUUGAUUUGAUUCUCUACCCCUUCUUCUAGGGAUGGGGCUUCCUGAGAGCCGAUCUGAAGUGAUUUUUACUUCUCUUCUGGAAUUUAGCAGAUCUACCAGGCUCCACACUGAUACUGGGCAGUGUCUGCAGAGUUCUGUGAUUUGAUCCAUCUUCAGGUUUCUCAGCCAUGGAUACCAGCUUCUGCUCUGGUAGAAGUAAGCAAAGGAGUGAAACAGAUUCCGUGAGGGUCCUUGGUUUAUUUUUGCUAAGUGUGCUGGUUUUGUGUCAGUUAGUCUCCAGCCGGGAUGUGGCACUUUCAAGAGUGCAUCAACUGCAGUAGUAUAGAUAGGAUACAAGCUUGCCCUAGGGCCAGGCAUUGGGUGAGGUCAUAGAGCUCUCAAGACAUUAUGUCCUUGGUCUUCAACUACCAGGGUGGAUAGAGAAGAACUGUCAGGCAGCAGAUGAGCAAGGCUGAGAACGUGCCCCAGAGUACAAGUCUUUCAACUAAGAAGAUACGUCGACUCACAGUUCCUUGGCUGUCCCAUGGAGCCAGCAGCAGCAAUCCCCCUCCUUCAAAGGAUGUAUGGAGUAUCUCAGCUUUCCUGGUUAAACGAGUCAUCAGAGGUCAAGCCACUUUCAAAGAAAUUAUGACUUUAACCCAGAUAAGCUUGGAAAUGGAUCCUUCCUCAGUCCAACCUCCAGAUGAGAAUGCAUCUCAAAAGGAAGCAGAAGCCUUUCACGUGUAUUCACAAUUUAUAUCAAGCAUGGCAAAUUGA